CCAGUCCAUCUUCUCCGAAGAUGAUGCAUCUCCGAAGGGAGACGAUUCGACAACCAGGAGCUGGGGAAGGAGGUCAGUCACAGCAGCUGAGACUUCUCGCAGAAGGAGGGGGGAGGGGGAGGGGGAGGGGGAGGGAGGGUGUUGUGGACUUUCUCCUAUCCCGUCGCUAGUUAGGGCUGCGGGGGUGUAGCGGGACUGUGCAUCCUUGCCGGAGACUCGCAAAUCCCGUUCAAAUCGGACCUGGAGGCCAGAGUAAAGUAUGAAUCCAUUGCGGUAUAUUUCUUCCUGUGAUCGCUCCUCCCUCCCCUUCCCAAAAAAACAUAGUGGGAUGUGCAAUCAAGAGAUAGGGAAGGGAAAGGGGGGGAUAAGGAAAGAGGGUGGUCUUUCUGUGUCCGGUGAAUUUCAGGGAGGGGAGGAAGCUGACCUGAAAGCUGGGGAAGCGCAGAUCCUGCUUGGAGUAGCCAAAAAAGGGAGCUGGGAUUACCUCAUCUGAGUUGGAGGCGUAGCUGAGGCUGGCUGCCAGCUUGCAGCCAACCACAUCUGAAUGAAAAUUGCAGAGAGCCUGUUACAUCAGCAUAGCCCAGCAUUCCCUGGUCUUUCGCAGGCAACAGCUGAAUGCUUUCCCUCAGCUGCAUGCGGACCAUUCAACAGAAGAGAGAGAGAGAGCCUUCCUACCUUCCAUUUGAGGAAUGGCAAGAUCCAGCAGGCAUAUUGAUGCUGAGGAUAAAAGGUCCGGCUCACCUGCCUAAGCCCCCCCCCUGCCCCCCCCCCCGCUUCUCUGUUCUGAACGAGGGGAGACCCAUUUUAUUCUUCUGCAGUUUUUUCUACAGAGAGGGUACAUUUCAGUGGAUUUAUCAGGAUGGUGGAGAUAAUUUUAUGCACCACUACUUAAAAAAAAAGGAGGGGCGUUCUGAAUUAGAAUACAGGACUGACAGGGACUCAUUAAUCCCAAUGAAUGCUUAGAAUGUAUAAGAUGCAAGGACGUGCUUCAUGGGAUGUACGAGGAGGUCUCUCUCUCUCUCUCUCUCUCUCUCUCUCUCUCUCUGUGUGUGUGUGUGUGUGUGUGUACAGCCUACAUCCCAUCUGUUGGGUUAUUCAUUAAAUCCAAGGAUGCAAUCCUGCUCCUGCUGAGCUCAAUGGCAAAACUCCCUAGCUUACAAUGGAGAUGGCUUGGAUCCCAAACUCCUAGUGUUGUGAUUGAUUGAUUGAUUGAUUGAUUGAUUGUAAUAUCCUAUGUGACAUCAUACUCUCUUGGACUGAAUAAUUUUGACCUAACCUUUUUUUGUUUCUGCUCCCAGCCCCUUUUCUUUCUGCAGCAAAAGUUGUUUUGUGAAAUAUCGUCUUCAGUGUGACAGCACAGGAUCUUUGAGUGCCAUCCAAGAGUGAAAUACGACUGGAGAACCUGGGAAAUGUGGAUUCUACAGCCAUCCAUCCUGCCCCCUUGAGAUUGCAGAGGAAGAGCUCAGUCUAACCACUGCAAGCCACUCAGUCCACCCAGCC